CCUACGGGAGGCAGCAGUCGAGAAUCAUUCACAAUGGGGGAAACCCUGAUGGUGCGACGCCGCGUGGGGGAAUGAAGGUCUUCGGAUUGUAAACCCCUGUCAUGUGGGAGCAAAUUAAAAAGAUAGUACCACAAGAGGAAGAGACGGCUAACUCUGUGCCAGCAGCCGCGGUAAUACCGAGGUCUCAAGCGUUGUUCGGAAUCACUGGGCGUAAAGCGUGCGUAGGCUGUUUCGUAAGUCGUGUGUGAAAGGCGAGGGCUCAACCCGCGGACGGCACAUGAUACUGCGAGACUAGAGUAAUGGAGGGGGAACCGGAAUUCUCGGUGUAGCAGUGAAAUGCGUAGAUAUCGAGAGGAACACUCGUGGCGAAGGCGGGUUCCUGGACAUUAACUGACGCUGAGGCACGAAGGCCAGGGGAGCGAAAGGGAUUAGAUACCCGAGUAGUC
rnacentral:rRNA from 1 species